rnacentral:tRNA from 1 species
UGGCCCGGUGGGUCGGGGGCGCCGCCGGUUCGGGCCUGGCCCGGUGCGGAGGGGCCGCCGGUUCGGGCCUGGCCCGGUGCGG